rnacentral:rRNA from 1 species
CCUACGGGUGGCAGCAGUCGAGAAUCAUUCACAAUGGGGGAAACCCUGAUGGUGCGACGCCGCGUGGGGGAAUGAAGGUCUUCGGAUUGUAAACCCCUGUCAUGUGGGAGCAAAUUAAAAAGAUAGUACCACAAGAGGAAGAGACGGCUAACCCUGUGCCAGCAGCCGCGGUAAUACAGAGGUCUCAAGCGUUGUUCGGAAUCACUGGGCGUAAAGCGUGCGUAGGCUGUUUCGUAAGUCGUGUGUGAAAGGCGCGGGCUCAACCCGCGGACGGCACAUGAUACUGCGAGACUAGAGUGAUGGAGGGGGAACCGGAAUUCUCGGUGUAGCAGUGAAAUGCGUAGAUAUCGAGAGGAACACUCGUGGCGAAGGCGGGUUCCUGGACAUUAACUGACGCUGAGGCACGAAGGCCAGGGGAGCGAAAGGGAUUAGAUACCCCAGUAGUC